CUCUACCUUCUAAGUCAGAUGUUGUAUACCUACCGGGUAUACUUCCAGUACAGAGGUGUAAAGGAUUCCGUUUCCUUGCUGUAUAGCAAAAAGUAAAUCAUGUGACUGCCGGCGGUAGAGAAAAUUCGAGGCUCGCAAUGCACAU
rnacentral:ncRNA from 12 species